UUGGAAGAAGCCAAAAUAGAGGCCCAUCACUGUUAAUGAUGAAACUGGAUUUUUUAUCCCUUUCAAG
rnacentral:tRNA from 1 species